rnacentral:rRNA from 1 species
UACAGAGGGUGCAAGCGUUAAUCGGAAUUACUGGGCGUAAAGCGCACGUAGGCGGUUUUUUAAGUCAGAUGUGAAAGCCCCGGGCUCAACCUGGGAAUUGCAUUUGAAACUGGGGAACUAGAGUGUGUGAGAGGGGGGUAGAAUUCCAAGUGUAGCGGUGGAAUGCGUAGAGAUUUGGAGGAAUACCAGUGGCGAAGGCGGCCCCCUGGCACAACACUGACGCUCAGGUGCGAAAGCGUGGGGAGCAAACAGG